CUCGGUAUCUUUUGCGACAGGGUCAUACCUGAUCCCAUCCCGAACUCAGAAGUUAAGCCUGUCAGCGCCGAUGGUACUUGGGCAUAAGCCCUGGGAGAGUAGGUCGAUGCCGGGA
rnacentral:rRNA from 1 species